rnacentral:rRNA from 1 species
AAUGAUCCCUCCGCUGGUUCACCAACGGAGACC